AAUAAGAGUAAAGUACUCCUGAAUAUUGGUGAAUCAGGUAAUCAUCAGAGUGUAUCCAUGCUUAAUUUAAAACGCCUUCUCUUCAUCUAUUGUGCAGCUAUCGAUUAAGAGUGCCUUGACUCCAGGAGUGGCGGGAAGCCGUGAUUGACUCCGGAAGCCGAAUUAUCGUUCAUCUUUCAUCAUUUUCACCGUUGAAAAGCCCUGUCCGGCUCCUCAGAGAUCUGACGGCGGGUGAGCGGUCACCGCCGAGUCGUUCGCUGGCGUCACGGCCGACGUGGCGCGCCGUGUCGUCCUGGUGGUCUUGGUCACCAUGGUAACCGAGCCUCCUCCCACCGGUGAGGACACGUCGCUUGCGGUGACGUCGGAAGCGUGCGGGCAGAAGGAGCCCGAGACGUCGGCCUCGCCUCCCAGCUCCCCUCGCCGCUGUGCCCGAGGAGAUCCCUCCGGCGUGAUCUGGAGGAAGCCUGCCAAGGGGGUGAGGAGGCAAAACGGCGUGUAAGACAGAAGGGAAGUGCCCCCUUCUGCCUCCAGGUGGCCGCUCCGCCCGUGUUUGAACUUGGGGAGGCAAAAUUCCACGUCCACAUUGCUCAUUUCCAGCCGGGGUGGCGUUCCCUCGAUCACCAGCUCCUCGCGCCGCUUCUCUUUUAGCCUCUUCAGACCGAAGCGACCGCCUCGCUUCUUCUUCGCCUUGAACGGCUUGAUGGCCUUCACGCUCUGAAACGUACGACAAGGUCAGCCACCCUCCUCCAUUCUCCACCAUUUUCGACUUCUUUUUGUAAAUGUCAAACAGCCAAGACAAUCUUCCUAUGAUUUACAAAAGGCAAUAUAUAUGAUUAAGAUUAUGAAGCCGGUAAUGUGCAGUCACUAUACUCCACUGCCAACUUGCUAAGCCGCAUGGAGCAAAAAAAAAUUGUAAAAAAAAAAAGGUCUGUAAACAGUGCAUACUGAUGUUACUACAAUGAUUAUAGUGACAAUUAUGUAUAGAUUUUUCUUCUUGUCACUCCUUUUCGAUGUGCAUUUUUAUUUUUAUGCUACUUAUGAAUUUUUGUGGUUAAUUUUGUUUUCAUUUGUUGCAAUUGUUUCAUUUGCUUUUUCUAUUUAGCUGUUUUCUUUUUUGUUUUUAUCUUUUUUAUUUUAAAUGGCACAUUGAAAUAAACAGAUUCAAUUCAACACAACACAGUUUUACAAGCCUCUGGACACAUGCUAAGUGCUAAGUUGCUAGCUUCCUGUACUCUGAAUGCUAAAAUAAGAUGGCCAGGCAUUUAAUGUUGUGUUUUUGCUUUUAUUUGGUUUUGGGACAAAUAACAAACUAUAUCAUAUAAAGUUACUUAACUCAGAGCAGAAAU